AUGGCGCGACCGAACAGAGCAGGUACUAUGCUUGUCGUGGAUUGCUGCCUCACGUGUACCCGGAGCACAUCUUGGGUGUUUAGGGAGCUGUACAGGAACAACCUCAAUGGCGAGAUUGCAAAAGAAAUGGGCAAACUGAAGAAAUUGAUCGGUUUGGAUUUGUAUGCCAAUAAUCACCGGAAGAAUCCCCAAGUCACUUUCCAAGCUCAGCUCACUGAUAUUGAUGUCAGAAGCAAUAUCAUGGUGGCACACUUGGUGCGCCCGUGCCAUCAGUCUCAAGCAUUGGCUGUAGAAGUUCUCCACCAACCUGAAGUGUGUGUGCGUGCUGAUCGGUCUCAAGCGUUGGCUGUAGAAGUUCUCUCCCAACCCAUCCAUACAUGCCGCAGAUUACUUCAAUCUGAAAGCGUCAUGAUUGUUAUUUAG
rnacentral:rRNA from 1 species